UGUCCCACAACUUUCAGACAUCACAGAGGCUGUCUGUGACGGCAUUUUCCAAUCCUCGCACAAGUUUUUCUUGUGGCUAAGCUUAACCUGGAGCCAACUGGAGAGAGAUUCUGGGAAAUGUGGUUCUGGCUUAGCUGUAUUGAGAUAAUAUGAAGUCAUCAGAGAGAGAAACAGCUGGCAACUGUGGUGAUGUCUGCGGGCUGUUUUGUGGCCUAAAUGAAACUUCCAUCAUGGAGUCAGUGGUGCUAUGGCCUGGGGUCCUGUUACAUAACAUCAGUGAAGGAGCACACGUGGUCUGCCUUUGCAUUGACAACUGAUGUUAACCAUAGUGUCAGGAUUCAGGCUGAGGUGAGGUCGGAAACGAACAAGCUGCUCCAUGGACCCAGAACUGCACUCGUUUAAGAUGAGGAAAUUCUCCAUUCUUUUGUAAGGCAGUUUGGAUGUACUGAACACUAUUCACAAGCACACCCAAAAAUGCUCAGGAUGGUAAAUUGUACAUUGUGUGCUUUUUUAUAGCAAAAGCACAAAAGCAGUCCUCUGGAGAGUCCAUGUCAUACGACGCAACCUUGAGUCAGUAAAUUUAAAAUGUCAA